CAGCCGCCGCGGGAAUACGUAGGGUGCGAGCGUUAAUCGGAAUUACUGGGCGUAAAGCGUGCGCAGGCGGUUGUGUAAGACAGGUGUGAAGUCCCCGGGCUUAACCUGGGAACUGCGCUUGUGACUGCACAGCUAGAGUAUGGCAGAGGGGGGUGGAAUUCCACGUGUAGCAGUGAAAUGCGUAGAGAUGUGGAGGAACACCGAUGGCGAAGGCAGCCCCCUGGGCCAAUACUGACGCUCAUGCACGAAAGCGUGGGGAGCGAACAGGAUUAGAUACCCCCGUAGUCCCUGUCUCUUAUAC
rnacentral:rRNA from 1 species